CAGAGUUAUAGGUACAGGCUGUGCCUGGGGAGUGAAGCCACGGAGGAGUGGAGCUAAAGUCUGUAGGGGGGCCCUGUAGCAAGGGGCCAGGUACCCAAGACCUGCUCUUCCAGAAGCAUAACAGAGCCAGCAGAGAGCAGAACUGCUGACUAAGGAGGAUUCAGAUCGCAGAUCCCAGUUUGCAGGUGCAGGGAGUGAUUUUGCUGACUCGGCCUGGUUUCCAGACAACGAGAGUAUCCUCAUCUCAAUUCAGGACCAUGAAAGGCUGGGAAUUUCUCGGAGGGGAACCUGAGUCAGAGAGGUUGGUUUGCAAACAUGCCAAGAACACACAGCUGAAGUCACUGGGAGCUGUGGGUGCUCAGAACCUCUGAAAAUCAUGCCCGAAGUAUCUUACCUUAAACCACAUCAUGUAGAUCCAGAAUUCGCAUUUGAGGCUUCCUGGCUCCCAGCUCCCUGCUGCCGCCUAGAAUUUUAUAUGACCUGGUGAGUUAGUU
rnacentral:lncRNA from 1 species